CACGUGCGACAAGGGAUAUCAUCUGUUUUGCCUUGGACCCAUUCUUGUUUCGGUGCCUAAGGCUUUUGGUUCUGUCUCUCUUGCUUCAACAUCAAGAAACCCCAAUGUAACAUUAGAAAAAGAAAGAGAGCUAGUGGCUUAGCCAUGUCAAAGAAGAAAAGGAAAUUGUUGGCAUUUUAUCCAACAGAAGACACUCAAAGGAGAUUGGGACAAAUAGCAUCAUUGGCAACAGCACUGAAUGCCUCUGGGACCGAGUACAGUGAUGAGCUCAUCUACAGGCCUGGCAUGGCACUAAGGUCAGCAAAUUGUGCAGCUCUUGAGAAGGGAGGAAUGCCGGGAAUGGAAAAUUCACUCCUUUCAAGUAAUUCACUUAAAAAUUAAAUAGUAUAGUAUGAGAUUUGCAGGCACGAUUAGGCUGAUUAGAAGUGAGUCACCUUAUCCAUUAGGCCAUGGUUGCCUCUUAUAACUGAAACUCCAUUACUACAUUUUAUAACUCCUACGAUUAAUUUUGAUGAAUUGCAUUUCAGGUUCUACCCAAAGAAGAUAAAGAGACCUUAAAUUUAUGCAAGAGGAUGAUGGAAAAAGGGGAAUGACCUGUGGAAGGGUUCACUGUACAGGCUGAUAGAUAUAUAAAGGAUUUAACUAUAAUUACAGAAUAUGUUGGAGAUGUUGAUUACUUGAAGAACCAUGAACAUGAUGAUGGAGAUAGCAUGAUGACCCUGCUUCAUGGAUCAAAUCGUUCAAAAAGCCUGGCAGGCAUGGUAGCAUUGCCCGCUUUGUCAAUGGCAUUAACAACUUCUCACCCUAAGUUGAUCUUCAACAUGUUUUUGUUCUUUGGCCUGUUCAGAUGUACUAAACUCGACUUGUAUAGUAUAAAAGUAUUGUUUAUCUUAAUGCAGGGAUGGUAGAAAGAAGCAAGAUGUAAAAUGUGUUAAGAUAUGAUGUCAAUGGGGAAUAUCGAGUUUUGCUGAUUGCUAACAGAGAUAUUCCGAAAAGGAGAAAAAUUGUACUAUGAUUACAAUGGAUAUGAGAAUGAAUACCCUGCAGAACAUUGUGUAGCUUUUAAGUUCUCCCUGAUUACUGAUUCCCAUACUAGGAUAUAGCUGAUGCAAUUAAUUUAUAAAGUUAGCAAGCUAAUUGUAUGCACAUGAUUGCUUGUCCCUGGUUCCAUAGUUUUUUGUAACUCAUUUAAGCCCUUUUCUUUGAGGGUUUAACAUUUUGUUCAAUAAGGAAAUCCAAUUUUUGAUCCUAUAUCUAUGUACUUUUUCCACUUUUUUCUUCUCUAAAAAAUAAAGUUUGGGUUGGACAUUUUUUAGUCGGAAAAAGUCUGGGUUAGAGGAGGUUGUUUCCUUUCACGAUCGGAGGGUAAGUUUAAGAGAUGAUUUUCAUUGAAAUCUAAACCUACGAAGUAUAGGAGAAUGGCUCAAAAAUCUUACUUUAUCAGGCCUUUGUGUUCAAAGCCCAUUUGUUUACUUUCUAUCCAAGGCCUCUUCAAAGCUAAUGUUUUCGACGAAUGAAAUUUGAUCAAAGCAACUCAUCUGCGCUAACUUCAGGUGUGAGAUGCAUUAUAUAUAGACAAGAUCUGAUAUUGAAUGUUAUGUGGAUGACCAGAUUAUACCAGAGCUAAAGCUACGUUGGGAAGUUCAAAUUUUCAAAUCCUUGCUUAGAGCAUCAGCUUCUUGUUUUCUUCUCAACAGAGUACGCUUAGCAAUAUUACUGCAACUAAUAAAGCAAUCCAGUUAAAACCCUCCACUCCAGUUGGACGAGAUCUAA